UCCUACGGGACGCAGCAGUGGGGGAUAUUGCACAAUGGAGGAAACUCUGAUGCAGCGACGCCGCGUGAGGGAAGACGGUCUUCGGAUUGUAAACCUCUGUCUUUGGGGAAGAAAAUGACGGUACCUGAAGAAGAAGCCCCGGCUAACUACGUGCCAGCAGCCGCGGUAAUACGUAGGGGGCAAGCGUUAUCCGGAUUUACUGGGUGUAAAGGGGGCGCAGACGGCGAUGCAAGCCAGGAGUGAAAGCCCGGGGCCCAACCCCGGGACUGCUCUUGGAACUGCGUGGCUAGAGUGCAGGAGGGGCG
rnacentral:rRNA from 1 species